UACGUAGGGUGCGAGCGUUAAUCGGAAUUAUUGGGUUUAAAGGGUGCGUAGGCGGCUUAUUAAGUCAGGGGUGAAAGACGGUGGCUCAACCAUCGCAGUGCCUUUGAUACUGAUGAGCUUGAAUGAACUAGAGGUAGGCGGAAUGAGACAAGUAGCGGUGAAAUGCAUAGAUAUGUCUCAGAACACCAAUUGCGAAGGCAGCUUACUAUGGUUUUAUUGACGCUGAGGCACGAAAGCGUGGGGAUCAAACAGG
rnacentral:rRNA from 1 species